GGGGAAUUUUUCGCAAUGGGGGAAACCCUGACGAAGCAACGCCGCGUGGAGGAUGAAGGCCUUCGGGUCGUAAACUCCUGUCGACCGGGAAGAAUGCACCUGACCUAAUACGUCGGUGUGUUGACUGUGCCGGUGGAGGAAGCCCCGGCCAACUACGUGCCAGCAGCCGCGGUAAUACGUAGGGGGCGAGCGUUGUCCGGAUUUAUUGGGCGUAAAGAGCUCGUAGGCGGUUUGGCAAGUCGGGUGUGAAAACUCCGGGCUCAACUCGGAGAGGCCACUCGAUACUGCCAUGACUCGAGUCCGGUAGGGGAGUGCGGAAUUCCUGGUGUAGCGGUGAAAUGCGCAGAUAUCAGGAGGAACACCGGUGGCGAAGGCGGCACUCUGGGCCGGUACUGACGCUGAGGAGCGAAAGCGUGGGGAGCGA
rnacentral:rRNA from 1 species